GUUAUAUGGUCAAGCGAAUAAGCGCACACGGUGGAUGCCUUGGCGGUCAGAGGCGAUGAAGGACGUGGCAGCCUGCGAAAAGUAUCGGGGAGCUGGCAACAAGCUUUGAUCCGGUAAUGUCCGAAUGGGGAAACCCACCCGCUUGCGGGUAUCCUGCAGUGAAUACAUAGCUGCUGGAAGCGAACCUGGUGAACUGAAAUAUCUAAGUAACCAGAGGAAAAGAAAUCAACCGAGAUUCCGUAAGUAGCGACGAGCGAACGCGGACUAGCCCUUAAGCUGAUUUGGUUCUAGGAAAACGCUCUGGAAAGAGCGGCCAUAGAAGGUGAUAGCCCUGUAUCUGAAAGGGCCAUUUCAGUGAAGACGAGUAGGGCGGGGCACGUGAAACCCUGUCUGAACAUGGGGGGACCAUCCUCCAAGGCUAAAUACUACUGACCGACCGAUAGUGAACCAGUACCGUGAGGGAAAGGCGAAAAGAACCCCGGAGAGGGGAGUGAAAUAGAACCUGAAACCGUGUGCGUACAAGCAGUAGGAGCUCCGCAAGGAGUGACUGCGUACCUUUUGUAUAAUGGGUCAGCGACUUACUGUUCGUGGCAAGCUUAACCGUAUAGGGGAGGCGAAGGGAAACCGAGUCUGAUAAGGGCGCAUAGUCGCGGGCAGUAGACCCGAAACCGGGUGAUCUAGUCAUGCCCAGGGUGAAGGUGCGGUAACACGCACUGGAGGCCCGAACCCACUCCCGUUGCAAAGGUAGGGGAUGAGGUGUGAUUAGGAGUGAAAAGCUAAUCGAACCCGGAGAUAGCUGGUUCUCCUCGAAAGCUAUUUAGGUAGCGCCUCAUAUGUAUCCUCUCGGGGGUAGAGCACUGUUAUGGCUAGGGGGGCAUCGCGACUUACCAAACCAUUGCAAACUCCGAAUACCGAGACGGACUGUAUGGGAGACACACGGCGGGGGCUAACGUCCGUCGUGAAAAGGGAAACAACCCAGACCCACAGCUAAGGUCCCAAAUUUUGUGCUAAGUGGAAAACCAUGUGGAAAGGCACAGACAGCCAGGAGGUUGGCUUAGAAGCAGCCACCCUUUAAAGAAAGCGUAAUAGCUCACUGGUCGAGUCGGUCUGCGGGGAAGAUUUAACGGGGCUAAGCACAGAACCGAAGCUUGGGGUGCAUACUUUGUAUGCGCGGUAGAGGAGCGUUCCGUAAGCCGUUGAAGGUGGAUUGAGAAGUCUGCUGGAGGUAUCGGA
rnacentral:rRNA from 1 species